UGGCAAGUCCAACCUGGAGUCCUUAGUGGCCACUAGGAGGUAGGCUGGAUUGCUGGGCUUCAGUCCAGCUCAUCAGUACAGGCAAUCAAACUCUUCAGAGUAUUUCAUCAUCCCAGCCGCUCAAGGUGGGGGUGGUGGUAUUUGAGAAACUUUGGCAACUCCCGUCUCAAUCCCUGAAGAGUGCCAACAGAGUCACCUUUCCCAACUCAUCUAUUUUUCUUGGUAUCAGGGACAUCUCUCACUCAAUAAAUCUAAAUCACCUUUGCUUUUACCAUGAAAGGAUCUUGAAAGCGUGCUUAGAGACUCCAAGUUCUCACUGGGACCGUUGGACUCCAGGGUCUAGCAUUUACCCAACUGACCACAUUGCCCAACUGGAUGCAUUUGCUAGAGGCAGGUCAUUAAGUUCAAGCGCUUGUAAACAAUUCCCAGGGAACGGGGACAGCUGAUUCCGCAGACAGCUUAGGAAUGGUUUUAGCAACAUGCACUUCAUCUGGGGCAAGCUACCUCUACUACGUGCACGCACACAGACACAUAUACACACGCACACACAUAUCCCACUGGAGAAGAUAAAACAGGAAGAUGGAAAUAGGAGCUCUAGUGAAGAUGAUGUUGUGGAGGAGAACAGCGCCCAGUCCAGCCUUGCCCAUCAAAGCAGAUGGAACGGAGAGGAAGUUCACCCUGGCUUCCUUUGCACUACCCCUGUGACCUAAGUAAGUUGGCCGCCUUCUCUGCACUUCGUCUCGCCACUUUGUUGAGCAGGCAUCCUCCAUGUUUUACAUUUGCAGACCAGAUGUAGGAGGC
rnacentral:lncRNA from 1 species